rnacentral:rRNA from 1 species
UACAGAGGGGGCAAGCGUUGUUCGGAAUUACUGGGCGUAAAGGGCGCGUAGGCGGCCUUCUAAGUCGAACGUGAAAUCCCCGGGCUCAACCCGGGAACUGCGUCCGAUACUGGAAGGCUUGAAUCCGGGAGAGGGAUGUGGAAUUCCAGGUGUAGCGGUGAAAUGCGUAGAUAUCUGGAGGAACACCGGUGGCGAAGGCGGAUCUCUGGGCCAUUACUGACGCUGAGGAGCGAAAGCGUGGGGAGCGAACAGG